UCUGUGUUGGAAGCAGCUGCACGAGUUACGGAGCACAAGCUUUGGCUGCGUGCAGACAUGAAGUAUACAAGCACCCGUGGAGGAGCGACAGGAGUGGAUUUUCAAGACGUUCUAUUUUCUGGAUUUGCUCCAGACGGUGGCCUUUUUAUGCCUGAGGAGAUCCCUAAAUUAGACAGCAAGACCAUAGAAGCAUGGAGCUUAUUUUCAUAUAUAGAAUUAGUAAAAGAAAUAUGUUCACUUUUCAUUCCUCUCGAGUCUAUUCCUAGGACUGACCUUAAUGGUCUAAUUGAUAAAGCCUUUAGUCGCUUCAGACACAAGGACAUUGUUCCAAUAUCUAGACUAGGAAGUGGGUUAAUUGUCUUGGAGAUGUGGCACGGUGUGACUCACGCAUUCAAAGACCUUGCAAUGUCCUGCGUCGGGCAGUUUCUAGACUACUUUUUAAAAAAAACUAAUAAACAUGUCAACAUUCUUGUUGGGACCUCGGGAGACACCGGCAGCUCAGCAAUUGAAAGUGUCAGGGGGAUAAAAAAUAUAGAUAUUAUUGUUCUGUUACCGCACGGACGCUGCACAAAAAUUCAAGAGCUGCAGAUGACAACUGUGAUUGAAGACAAUGUUCACGUCUUUGCUGUGGAUGGAACAUCUGAUGAACUAGAUGAACCUAUCAAAAAGCUGUUUGCUGACACUGACUUUGUGAGGAAGCACCAUCUAAUGAGCACAAAUUCGGUCAACUGGGCUCGAGUGCUGGUGCAGAUUGCGCAUUACUUCUAUGCCUACUUCCAAUGCGCUAAAUUUGUAACCAGUGAGACGCUGCCCCUAGUGGAAAUAGUGGUUCCUUCAGGGGGAGCUGGAAACAUCACAGCUGGUUGCAUUGCACAGAUGAUGGGACUUCCAAUCCGCUUGGUCGCUGCCGUGAACAGAAACGACAUCAUUCACCGCAUUGUACAACAUGGAGAUUUCUCAUUAGGUGACACAGAAACAAGUCUGGCAUCUGCAAUGGAUAUUCAGGAGCCGUACAACAUGGAGAGAAUAUUUUGGUUACUUGCAGGCUCAGAGAAAAGCAGAAUGAGAGAGAUGAUGGAAGAAUAUAAUAUAAAGAAAGUACUGAAAUUACCAGAUGAACUUCAUAAAAAGGUUUUGCAAGCAAUGACAUCCUGCUCCGUUACUGAUGAAAAUAUACUACAAACCAUUAGGCGCUGCUGGGAGGAAAAUCGUUACCUGCUGUGCCCUCAUUCUGCUGUUGCAGUAUUUUAUCAUUACAAGCAAUUUGACAACAACCAGAACAGGAGAUGCAGGAUAUUCCUGUAGGAACUGGCUACUUACUCCUGUAAAUAUUCCACGCACAAGAUCUGAAAUGCGGUACAAUGAUGCACACAAAACAACUCGAUGUGUGAUUGAGAGGACCUUUGGAAUGCUCAAAAGCCAUUUUCGUUGUCUAGAUGAAUCCGGAGGCACUCUUCAAUACGUUCCUGAGAAAGUGGCUGUUAUGGUGUUGGUCUGUUGCAUGUUGCAUAACAUCGCUUUGCGACAAUCAAACAUAGAGGAACUGGAAAUAAUAACACCAGAUGAAGAUGGUGUUGAAUCUGUUCCUCAAGAUGUAGUUGAAGGGGGUACACAUGCACGUAACCAGUUGAUACAAACUCAUUUCGUAGGUUAACUAGAAAAUGUUUCUAAGUUCAAGCAUGAAAAUCUAUAAUUCAAAAAUGAGAAACGUUCUCCACAAAAUUAUUCACAAUUUAGAUGAUGAGAGUGAUGUGUAAUUCAAAAAUAAAUAUGUUCUGAUUGAUACAGUUGAAAAAAAAAAUAUUUGCAUAUGUUGUCUUUUCUUCUAUUUGUUAUUUGUUUAAAAAAAUUAAAAUAAAAUCAAAUUUUUUUUUAA